rfam:Buceros rhinoceros silvestris contig16592, whole genome shotgun sequence.
ACCAAGGCACUUUUUAGUGCCACCCUUAAAUGCAUAACACUGUCCU